UACAGAGGUCUCAAGCGUUGUUCGGAUUCAUUGGGCGUAAAGGGUGCGUAGGCGGCGCGGUAAGUCGGGUGUGAAAUCUCGGAGCUUAACUCCGAAACUGCAUUCGAUACUGCCGUGCUUGAGGACUGGAGAGGAGACUGGAAUUUACGGUGUAGCGGUGAAAUGCGUAGAUACCGUAAGGAAGACCAGUGGCGAAGGCGGGUCUCUGGGCCGAUACUGACGCUGAGGAGCGAAAGCGUGGGGAGCGAACAGG
rnacentral:rRNA from 1 species